CAUGCAAGUUGAGCGAUGAAGAUUGGUGCUUGCACCAAUUUGAAGAGCAGCGAACGGGUGAGUAACGCGUGGGGAAUCUGCCUUUGAGCGGGGGACAACAUUUGGAAACGAAUGCUAAUACCGCAUAACAACUUUAAACAUAAGUUUUAAGUUUGAAAGAUGCAAUUGCAUCACUCAAAGAUGAUCCCGCGUUGUAUUAGCUAGUUGGUGAGGUAAAGGCUCACCAAGGCGAUGAUACAUAGCCGACCUGAGAGGGUGAUCGGCCACAUUGGGACUGAGACACGGCCCAAACUCCUACGGGAGGCAGCAGUAGGGAAUCUUCGGCAAUGGACGAAAGUCUGACCGAGCAACGCCGCGUGAGUGAAGAAGGUUUUCGGAUCGUAAAACUCUGUUGGUAGAGAAGAACGUUGGUGAGAGUGGAAAGCUCAUCAAGUGACGGUAACUACCCAGAAAGGGACGGCUAACUACGUGCCAGCAGCCGCGGUAAUACGUAGGUCCCGAGCGUUGUCCGGAUUUAUUGGGCGUAAAGCGAGCGCAGGUGGUUUAUUAAGUCUGGUGUAAAAGGCAGUGGCUCAACCAUUGUAUGCAUUGGAAACUGGUAGACUUGAGUGCAGGAGAGGAGAGUGGAAUUCCAUGUGUAGCGGUGAAAUGCGUAGAUAUAUGGAGGAACACCGGUGGCGAAAGCGGCUCUCUGGCCUGUAACUGACACUG
rnacentral:rRNA from 1 species